rnacentral:lncRNA from 1 species
UGCUUGUCUUGAAGACCCUGAUGGCUUCUGAAUACAUUCACCAAGGCAAGUGUUGAUACAAUCUCUUUUUCUCUCUAGCUAAUUUCCAGGGAACAGAAGUAACACCUAAUCAAAGAACAUUACCUUCUUCCAGAAUAGGAAGACCUGGCAAUUUUCAGAAUUGCUAUGGACCAAUCAAUGACUGCUGUGUGUUGGGGGGCAUUAGAUAACUUUUUUUUUAAAUUAACAGGCCUCCAGAUCAAGAAGAACUGCAUCUGGAACAGGUAUAAAUAAUAAGAUCCUGGAAUUUGAACUUGAUUUCAUACUUAUGAUUAAAAGUAUGGGAAUUUCCUAAAAUUAUAUUUAUAUACAAAAUGAGACAGAAGUAAGCUAUUUUGUGUGUGGGUGG